rnacentral:rRNA from 1 species
AGUGAACGCUGGCGGUAGGCCUAACACAUGCAAGUCGAACGGCAGCACAGUAAGAGCUUGCUCUUACGGGUGGCGAGUGGCGGACGGGUGAGGAAUACAUCGGAAUCUACUUUUUCGUGGGGGAUAACGUAGGGAAACUUCCGCUAAUACCGCAUACGACCUACGGGUGAAAGCAGGGGAUCUUCGGACCUUGCGCGAUUGAAUGAGCCGAUGUCGGAUUAGCUAGUUGGCGGGGUAAAGGCCCACCAAGGCGACGAUCCGUAGCUGGUCUGAGAGGAUGAUCCGCCACACUGGAGCUGAGACACGGUCCAGACUCCUACGGGAGGCAGCAGUGGGGAAUAUUGGACAAUGGGCGCAAGCCUGAUCCAGCCAUACCGCGUGGGUGAAGAAGGCCUUCGGGUUGUAAAGCCCUUUUGUUGGGAAAGAAAAGCAGCAGGUUAAUACCCCGCUGUUCUGACGGUACCCAAAGAAUAAGCACCGGCUAACUUCGU